CACGUAGGCCGUUUGACAGGUCAAGGGUGAAAUCCCCGGCUCAACCGGGGAACGGCCUUGAAACCAUCAGACUUGAGCGGAAAAGGGGAGAGAGGAACUCGCAGUGGAGCGGUGAAAUGCGUAGAUAUUGCGAGGAACGCCGGUGGCGAAAGCGUCUCUCUGGUUUCUUGCUGACGCUGAGGUGCGAAAGCUAGGGGAGCGAACG
rnacentral:rRNA from 1 species